AUUAUUAAACAAAAAGAAGUCGUAUAAGAGACAGAGUGAGAAUAU
rnacentral:guide_RNA from 1 species